AAAAAACGUCGUUUGCUUCUUUUGAAACCUUAAUCUUGUAAUAAGAGUUAUAAAUCCAGAUUUUGCAGGGUUUUGGAUGCUCAUGAAAAAUGUAUUUUGUUUGUUGACCUUGCUUGGUGAAAGCUCAAGCUUUUGGUAAGAAAGGCUUGGGCUAAAAAAAAAUUUCAUCCGAAUUUAUCAACUUUGAACAGUUAAACAGCAGCUUAAGGAUACUCAUUUCAUACUUCUCUAAUACUCUUUUUACUUAAGAUUGCUAUUUUGCUUUUCUCUCA
rnacentral:misc_RNA from 1 species